GUGGAGCUCAGUGAAAAGUGAAUCCCAAGGCCGAGGAUCGAUCAGCAGAUCCAGGAUGGCCCAAUUUGAGCAGAUGGUGGUUUCUUAUGUGCCAGAGUUGCACAAUGAUUGGAAGUCCGUCCUUAGUGAUUGCAGCAACAAAAUACCAGGAAGUUAUCUACGAGUUUCAGCCGUUAUGGCCUUUAUCAAGAUACUCCUAGUAGCUGCAAUUGUCUUUUAAAUACAAAACAGAAUACAUGGAAGCAGAAGUUCUAUUUAGAGCGGGAGAGAACUGGUGAACUGAGCACUAUCCAUGAAACACAAGACAUAGCAAGAUUGUAAACCUUUAAACUGAAUUCAAUACAUUACCUCAUUACACUGUAUAUGUAUAUUUAUAUAUAGGUAGUUGAUAAAUUCAGAUAAAUCUGUGUCUCCUAUAAUCUAAGCAGUGGAGGUUAGUUAAUUUGAAUGCUAUAAUCACAUUAGGAGUUUCAAAGUAAACACUGUAUUAUCAUUUAAAUUUUCUGUG